rnacentral:rRNA from 1 species
CCUCGGGAGGCAGCAGGUGGGGAAAUUUUCCGCAAUGGGCGAAAGCCUGUACGGAGCAACGCCGCGUGUAGGGAUGAAGGCCUCUGGGCUGUAAACCUCUUUUAUCAAGGAAGAAGAUCUGACGGUACUUGAUGAAUAAGCCACGGCUAAUUCCGUGCCAGCAGCCGCGGUAAUACGGGAGUGGCAAGCGUUAUCCGGAAUUAUUGGGCGUAAAGCGUCCGCAGGCGGCCCUUCAAGUCUGCUGUUAAAAAGUGGAGCUUAACUCCAUCAUGGCAGUGGAAACUGUUGGNCUUGAGUGUGGUAGGGGCAGAGGGAAUUC